CUUGGAUUUUNNNNNNNNNNCCUGUAGUCCUAGCUACUUGGGAGGCUUAGGUGGGAGGACCGCUUGAGCCCAGGAGUUCUGGGCUGUAGUGCGCUAUGCCGAUUGGGUGUCCGCACUAAGUUCGGCAUCAAUAUGGUGACCUCCCGGGAGCGGGGAACCACCAGGUUGCCUAAGGAGGGGCGAACCGGCCCAGGUUGGAAACGGAGCAGGUCAAACCUCCCGUGCUGAUCAGUAGUGGGAUCUCGCCUGUGAAUAGCCACUGCACUUCAGCCUGGGCAACAUAGCGAGACUACAUCUCU
rnacentral:SRP_RNA from 1 species